AUGCACGCACGCACACACUACUCGACGCGGACCCGACGCGCCCGACCCAGCCAGCCCGCGCCCAUACACGCGCUGGUCGUGUCCGGUGCAUCGCCGCGGCUUAUUUGCCCUAACAAGCGCAACUUGUUGCACGAGUGCAGUACUCCUCGGGCUCGGGGUACACUGGAGAAGGUGGUUUCUUUUUUCGCAGGACCGGGGAAGAAGAUGAUGGAUGUCAAGGAUGAGUUGUUGGAAGCUAUGUGUGCACAUGUACUGCUGGAAUCUGGCACAACAGCCGAAAGGCGUCCCACAAGGAAACUCGGUGAUUACAUGGGCUGUAAUCAGGAGCACUACAGUUUUGAAAGCAACCUCAUCGCAUUCCACGUCGCCACCGACAUUUUCCUCUUGCGCAGGCCGAGGUCCCCAGGGAUAGAAAGUGAAGCGUCGGUCAAAUAUGAGACCAGGAUCCAAGCGAUAUCAGAUUAUAUGAUGUUCCUCCUCACGCAACGUAAGCACAUGAUACUGAAGCCAGGUGACGAGGGCAGCGACUACAAAAAGUCGCUCCUCGAUUUGAAGGAAAUAUGGCGUGUAACUGGAACCAGCGGUCCUCCAAAAACAAGAGCCAGAAGGCUUGCCAAAAGCCUUCUAUACAUGGAUGUGACUCAGGGCACUACCAGGAAAUCAAGUCUUCUUUUCAACACCAACAAAACUCUCGCGCUCGGUGCUGGCUGGGCCUUGAAGCUGUUACAUGAGCUAGACCCGACACGGUAUGGUUCUGGAAGGGAUCCAAUGUAUGUCGGAUACGUUCAAAGGCUUGAAGAUUUCAUCCUGGUAUUCACCGAUGAGGCAGAAGCCAACAUUAAACGGUGUAGGGACAGCGGGGAACAAUGCAAACUCCUCGAUUAUAUGUUGAAGCAAAUUCUUGAUUCAUGGGUACAUUUUCUCACCUUUACGUCCCAAGAAUGCAGCAGGGAAUCGCAUGCCAAGCAGCUCAGCUGUGGUGGUGAGCUCUUAACCAUCGUCUGGCUGAUGAAACAACAUGGUGCAUUGAAUCUCAUUUCCAAGGGCGAAUGA
rnacentral:rRNA from 1 species